rnacentral:lncRNA from 1 species
CGGGACUGAAAAUGCUCCCUCAAAGGCCCUUCAGCAUAUGAAACCAGCAUACCAGAUGACCACGUAUGAUCCAGUGUUGUCAAAGGAGAAGCUGAGGAGGUGUUAGACUUCUUGGUUGCAAGUGGUGGCUGGGCUGCUACUGGACGUGCUGAGUGUGGUUCAACACCAUCUGAUGGUGUCAUGAUGAUACGGGAGGACGGCAGGGAAGUGCUGGGAGGAGAAGGUCCCUGGUGAGGGCUCCAGCCCUGGGCCUGGGCCCAGGGACAUAGGUAAGGACAGGCACUCCUGCCUUAGCGUCCAAAUGUUGCAUUUCCCAAGACCACCCUGGCCCGCCAUGCCCCAUCCUGUACCUGUGAAAACCCCGAGACCUUAGUGGGCACAGACACAAGCAGCUGGACAUUGACAGGAACACACCGGCGGAAGAAGACACAAGCGGCUGGAUGUCGAGAGGAACGUACCGGCGUAAGAGCACAUUGACAGCCCCAGCAGACUGGCAGGCCAUCAACUGGCAGAACGACACUAAGUUUGGCCAGGGUGGUCGGAGGAGAGCCUGGCCCUGAGUGGACCGACUCGAGGGGAAAACCACCUUCCCACUCCAUCUCCCUUCUGGCUCCCCCAUGGGCUGAGGGCUACUUCCACUGAAUAAAACCUUGCACUCAUUCUCCAAGCCCAUGUGUGAUCUAAUUCUCCUGGUACACCAAGGCAAGAACCCCGGGAUACAGAAAGCUCUCUGUCCUUGCGAUAAGCCAGAGUGUCUAAUUGAGCUGGUUAACACCAGCCGCCCACCGACGGCAAAACUAAAAGAGCACUCUGUAACACACGCCCACUGGGGCUUCAGGAGCUGUAAACAUCCACCCCUAGACACUGCCGUGGGGUUGGAGCCCCA